GGGAGGAGUUGCUAGCAACAGCCCUGGCUGGGUGCCCUCUCCUGAGCGGGCUGGGUGUGGGCUAGGAUUAUCUGACAACUGACCCUGGGUUGCCCAUGAGUGAGUGCUGAGAGAAGUGGUCCUGGGAACCCAAGAAAGGCAGCCCUAAGGAGACAACAAUAAAAGCAUUAUUGAAACUUUUUUUGGGGAGGGGUUUAAAAAUGUUUAUUUUAUGUACAAAGCACUACCAUGGUUUUUCAUGGCAGAUGUCUUGGAUAAUCCUUUGAAGGUCAUUUAGUCCAACUUAAUGAAACCUAUAUCCUUCGCGUACUGACGGAAACACUGGCGGCACAUAUUGAGACCCUAUUUCCGGAUCAAACCCUGCCGGUUUGAACAGACGCGACAAGAGCGAGAACCCUGGCCGAAUUUGCUCGGGUGGCUCCAGUACCGCUGCUGGUGACCCAUCUUGCUCUCAGAAAGGCCACGAGGUGAAAGGAAGGAGCUUUUUCCGUUCUUUUGUGAUUCUGCAUAGUCAUCCUCUCUUGCCCAGCACUUCCGUCUAGAAUGGUAGGAAGUCACCCUUAACCGCAUGCAUUACCUUAUUUGUUAAAAGCAUUUAGGACUCAUUAGGAGAGGGGCUCCUCUUGCAAAUGAGAGAGUCUUUGUGCCAGUAGCGCUUCCAGUGGGACGUCAAUGCUGGAGCAGAAGCAGCAGGAGGAGGGCGAUGACGGAAAUGUUCUGGAUCUGUGCUGCCGGAUUCCGUCGCUGCCAGCCCCACGUGGCUACUGAGCACUUAGAAUGGAAGCUAAGGAGACGAGGUGUCGCUAUAUUGCCCAGGCUGGUCUCAAACUUCUGGCCUCAAGCAGUCUUCCCGUCUCAGCCUCCCACAGUGCUGGGAUUACAGGCAUGAGCCACCGCACCUGGCCUUUUCAGCCGAGAUCGAGCCUUUGCACUCCAGCCUGGGCAACAAGAGGGAAACUCCGUCUUAAAUAUAUAAAUAAUAAAAAUAAAAAGUAAUAACGAAAACCAGCCACCAUUUAUUCAGGUUGUGUCAGGGUGGGGGUGGGCUGUAAGUACUUGGUGUUAACGAACUUAUUUAAUCCUCACAGCGCUCUGGGAAGGCGAUUCUAUGACUGUCCCCAUUUCACAGAUGAGGAAACUAAGGCUCAGAAGAUUAAAUAACUUGCCCCAAAUCAGAGAGCUGUGAGUGAUGAGCUAGGAGUCAAACCCAGGCGGCUGGCCCACAGUCUAGGGUUUUAGCCAUUCAGCCAUAUUGCUUCUUCAUGUUCACGGUGAGAAAGGUCCCUGCCUUUCCCUCUCCAGUACCAUUCUCAAAUCUCGCUCCCCAACUGCAACUACCCUCAGCUCUUCUAGGUGUUUCUUCUUGAAUUUGUUUCCAUCUUUCUAAAUAACAUAUCAUGCUGCUAUGGCUUAAUUUUCCAACUUUCGAUUAUUCUUUUUGAAGAAGCAUGAGGCUUUAGCCCCCUUACCCUACCACCUC
rnacentral:lncRNA from 13 species